GACGAACGCUGGCGGCGUGCCUAAUACAUGCAAGUCGAACGCACAGUUUAUACCGUAGCUUGCUACACCAUAGACUGUGAGUUGCGAACGGGUGAGUAACGCGUAGGUAACCUGCCUGGUAGCGGGGGAUAACUAUUGGAAACGAUAGCUAAUACCGCAUAAUAUUAAUUAUUGCAUGAUAAUUAAUUGAAAGGUGCAAUUGCACCACUACCAGAUGGACCUGCGUUGUAUUAGCUAGUAGGAGAGGUAACGGCUCACCUAGGCGACGAUACAUAGCCGACCUGGGGGGGGGAUCGGCCACACUGGGACUGAGACACGGCCCAGGCUCCUUCGGGAGGCAGCAGUAGGGGAUCUUCGGCAAUGGACGAAAGUCUGAACGGGGAACGCCGCGUGAGUGAAGAAGGUUUUCGGAUCGUAAAGCUCUGUUGUAAGGGAAGAACGGGUGUGGGAGUGGAAAGUUCACACUGUGACGGUAUCUUACCAGAAAGGGACGGCUAACUACGUG
rnacentral:rRNA from 1 species